CCUACGGGAGGCUGCAGUGGGGGAUAUUGCACAAUGGGGGAAACCCUGAUGCAGCGACGCCGCGUGGGCGAAGAAGUAUUUCGGUAUGUAAAGCUCUAUCAGCAGGGAAGAAGAAAUGACGGUACCUGAGUAAGAAGCACCGGCUAAAUACGUGCCAGCAGCCGCGGUAAUACGUAGGGUGCAAGCGUUAUCCGGAUUUACUGGGUGUAAAGGGAGCGCAGGCGGCACGGCAAGCCUGAUGUGAAAGCCCGGGGCCCAACCGCGGGACUGCAUUGGGAACUACCGGGCUGGAGUGCCGGAGAGGUAGGCGGAAUUCCUAGUGUAGCGGUGAAAUGCGUAGAUAUUAGGAGGAACACCAGUGGCGAAGGCGGCCUACUGGACGGUGACUGACGCUGAGGCUCGAAAGCGUGGGGAGCAAACAGGAUUAGAUACCCCGGUAGUC
rnacentral:rRNA from 1 species